GCAGAGCCCGGGCUGGAGGGUGUUGCUAGGAGGGCUGCAAUGGGCCAAGGAUUUUUUUUGGCGCGUCACUUGAAGUGACAGAAGACGUAAGAGGUAGGGCUGUCGUAGGCUCGGCGUCUCUGGUGCUGCUGGCCCAGGCACCUCGGGUUCUGCCCGUAGCCUUAGGUGAGCGAAGGCCGAGCAACGGGGAGUAAUUGCUGGGCGCAGGUAGCUUGAGUCCAGCGCUCUCACCCCGACGCCCGCCCAAUGGCUCUGCUCCAGCCUGGGAUUCUGACCCGGGCCCGAGCCUGGGAUGGCUGGUGGGUGGGAGACCAGAGAGCAGCAGAAAUGUGCUUUCCAGCCCUAGUGCGGUUUGUCCCGGGUUAACGGAGGAGUGAGAUGAGAGUAUCACUCCUAACAGUCGAGCAGGCUAACAAAACAAUAACAAAUAAGCCAGGGAACCACUGGGCUAAUUACAUCGGGAGAAUGGCGACUGCUCUAAGGGUGAGAGACAAGAGAGAUCUCUUCAUAGUGAUGAAAACAAACAAACAAACAACAACAAUAAAACCAAAAAAGACAGCCCGGCAUCCCAGCCAGAACUCCUGGAGAUAAGUUCCGACUCCUCUCAGGGAGGUGGAGAAGACCUGGAACCUCCUGAGAAUGGAGACGCCUGUGUCACAGAUAACAGGUUUACACUAAAGUGGAGCAGCCACGGGCUGCUCCCUUUUAGUGGGCAAUGGGACUCUUUCAACAGAAUAUCAAGCAGAGGUGUCUGAUUGGCUUGUUCCAUCAUCAUAAUUCUCUCUAACUAUGGGAAGCAUUUGGUUGUCUCUGUUAUAGGAAACCUUAUGUCUACUUCACUCAAUGCUUGUAACUUCGUUCCAAUAAGAGACUGAGCUAACUUGUGUUAUGGCUCCAUAAGCACUUCCACCGAGCCUGACAGAUGACAGAGAUUCCCAGAAACCACGUGGAAAAAAGAACCAACUCCAGCAAGUUGUUCCCUGGCCUCUCUGCCCAUGCACCUUGACAUAUUUGUGCACACAAGAACACAAAAUACUUGUAAUAAAACAUGUUUUAAAGAUGACAGCCA
rnacentral:lncRNA from 1 species